rnacentral:lncRNA from 1 species
AACAUCAUCACUCCCAUUUCACCCAGCGAUGAUCGCCUGUCAAGUUCUUGCUUCGUGAUCUUUCUGCCAUUUGGAUGGAAGUUUCUUUUGGCCCAAUAUCGAAUGCCAAUCCAAUGCAUGAGCGGCUUUCUGGAUGAGAUGCGACAUGAUUCAACGACUGUUUCUGAAAACAAGCCAGCUUAUUGUGCUAACUAAUCUGCGUACAGUAGUCCUUGGGAUGGAGGAUAGUGGCAUUUAAGGGAUUUUGUAGAUUAUAAGCUUCCAUCGAAAGAGCCUAAGGACUCGCUCCUGGGUUCACUGUACAGGCCCACAUGAUCCGAGUACAUCGCUAUUUCCCCUCCGCAUCCGCAUCCCCCUUCGCUUACCGCACGUCCUUUAUGGCAAAGUUAAACUUUUCAAGGUUAAGUCUUUGGCUGGCGUCGCCGGCGAGCAAUGACACUUGGGCAUGGGCAGAACGGGCCCGCGGGGGAAGGGACACGGAUAGGGACCAGAAGCAACAUCCAAUUCCACGUCCACAUCAUCGCUAUCGAACACCCUCUCGCACACUCACGCACACACACACAAACACGCCCAGCAGUUCGCAGUUCGUUCACUUGCCGGGAACCCUGCCUCCUCGUUGUGCUCUUCGUCCUCCAUCGGAAUCUACCCUCCAUCCUCUUGGAACCGUCUAGCAGCUACCAUAUACCUCGUACCGUCUGCCGUCUGCCGCAAUUCCUGCGCGACCAACCGUGGCACUGUGGUUCGAAGUCUACAGUUUAAGGAUC